rnacentral:lncRNA from 1 species
UUUCAUUCAUCUCUCUCGUUCUUUACUUUCUACUUCAAACACGUUAUCAUGCACUUUGCUCUCCGCAUGAGUGAUUUGGUCAUAGAGAAAAAGGAAUCAGCCUAUCACACGAAGCCAACGGAAACAAGAGACGAAUGUCACCGACCUCCACAUAAACAAAUGCAACUCCGGCUAUCUUCAACAUCGACCGCUAGAAACAACGUUGUCCUCAAGAAAAGAUAAAUGGGAGUCUAACAUCGUGCUCCUUUUUCCGAUUUAAUUGCUGCACAUGACAAGUCCUAUUUCAGGAAGAAUAGAGAAGGAGAAGAUGUGAGGAGUCAUCAUAUAAUAAAAG